CUCUCUCGUCUCUCUUGCUGCCAGGCAGAAGGUGUGGAUGUGCUUCCAAGCCACGUGCCUUCAUUCAGAAGUUACACCUAAUCAGACAUCAAGAGCCUAUCUAAAGUUAUGAGAUUAUUUGAAGACAAAUAACAGUUAUUCAGACUGCGAGCUGGUAUACUGUGGGACCAAAAACCAAUGCUCUUAAAUUUCAAGAGAUGAACUUCAGCUGAGAGUAAGAGGUGUCAAAUGAAACCUACUACUACUGCAUAUCAGGAAGCUAUAGGAAUACUUUGAUUUCCAUAUACAAGAAAUGGAAUUUUAACAGUGAUCACUGAUUACCUUAAAAUGGAUCAGUCUCUACGUAGGGAGAUAAAUGAAGUUUUCAAUCUAAUACAGAUCAACAGGCACAGUGUCCAGAAUCAAAAAGAAUUUGUAAGAUGCAUGGAAGGGUCUUUGACUACCAUGGUAGGUAAUAAGAUAAACAAAUGUUAGUAAAACUUUGAUUAUUUUAUAUGCUACUAAUUAUUUGAAAUAUUACACAUAAAACAUAGGAUUUCCAAAUACAGUUGUUGAACUACAAAGAUAAGGAUAUAAUUUUCCAAUUUCCAGUUCUCAUGAGUCAUGAUGUCCAGAAGCAUAAUGAACAUAUAUAUAAAGUAUACUCAAAUAUAUAUAUAUAUUCUGCUACUUUAGUGUAAUAUUGCUUCUACAAACUUAUCACCUAGGUGAAAGUCUCACUAGAACAAUUCCUUAUUUUUUUUCUACAGAUUCAGACUAAACACCACAAAUUGACAUGCCUAAUCCUUUGAAGGUUUAAAAGACCACCUGCAAUUCUACAUGAUUGCAGAAUCAGGACUUAUUCUUUGUUUGAAAGGAAAUUAAGAAAAAAAAAAAGGGGGGGGGGGGGGG